rnacentral:rRNA from 1 species
GUAACACGUAAAGAACCUGCCCUCAGGUCUGGGAUAACCACGAGAAAUCGGGGCUAAUACCGGAUGGGUCAUCGGACCGCAUGGUCCGAGGAUGAAAGGCGCUCCGGCGUCGCCUGGGGAUGGCUUUGCGGUGCAUUAGCUAGUUGGUGGGGUAAUGGCCCACCAAGGCGACGAUGCAUAGCCGACCUGAGAGGGUGAUCGGCCACACUGGGACUGAGACACGGCCCAGACUCCUACGGGAGGCAGCAGUAGGGAAUCUUCCACAAUGGACGAAAGUCUGAUGGAGCAACGCCGCGUGAACGAUGAAGGCCUUCGGGUCGUAAAGUUCUGUUGUAAGGGAAGAACAAGUGCCGCAGGCAAUGGCGGCACCUUGACGGUACCUUGCGAGAAAGCCACGGCUAACUACGUGCCAGCAGCCGCGGUAAUACGUAGGUGGCAAGCGUUGUCCGGAAUUAUUGGGCGUAAAGCGCGCGCAGGCGGCCUCUUAAGUCUGAUGUGAAAGCCCCCGGCUCAACCGGGGAGGGCCAUUGGAAACUGGGAGGCUUGAGUAUAGGAGAGAAGAGUGGAAUUCCACGUGUAGCGGUGAAAUGCGUAGAGAUGUGGAGGAACACCAGUGGCGAAGGCGACUCUUUGGCCUAUAACUGACGCUGAGGCG